rnacentral:rRNA from 1 species
CCUACGGGAGGCUGCAGUGGGGAAUAUUGGGCCAUGGAGGAAACUCUGACCCAGCAACGCCGCGUGAAUGAUGAAGGUCUUCGGAUUGUAAAGUUCUUUUCUAAGGGAAGAAGAACGUGACGGUACCUGAUGAAUAAGCUCCGGCUAACUACGUGCCAGCAGCCGCGGUAAUACGUAGGGAGCAAGCGUUAUCCGGAUUUACUGGGUGUAAAGGGCGCGUAGGCGGGAUGGCAAGUCAGAUGUGAAAUCCAGGGGCUCAACCCCUGAACUGCAUUUGAAACUGUCGUUCUUGAGUACUGGAGAGGUGGACGGAAUUCCUAGUGUAGCGGUGAAAUGCGUAGAUAUUAGGAGGAACACCAGUGGCGAAGGCGGUCAACUGGACAGCAACUGACGCUGAGGCGCGAAAGCGUGGGGAGCAAACAGGAUUAGAUACCCCAGUAGUC